rnacentral:rRNA from 1 species
AUGAGUGGAACGGACUGCUUCAGAAUAGAGAAUGCAAAGAGUCAAAGAGGAGAAGGGUGGAAAGGAGACGUUCCCCAAGACGUCUGCCAUCUUCUUGUAGAGCAUUAUGAUGGAGAAUUGAUUACUAAGAAGAUCCUUGGAUUAGAAAAUUUACACACUCUCAUAAUAUAUGUUGUUGAAAGGGAUACAUCAGUGGAGGAAAAAGUCAUGGAGAGUAUAUGCAAGAGGCUACAUAAAUUGCGGGUAUUGGCUGUUGCUUUCAGCCGGGAACAUCUUCCAAUCAUACAACCCAAAAAGUUCCUGUUACCAGAAUCCAUUAGUCAGUUAAAGGACCUAUGCUAUCUUGCUUUCAGGACAUUCGAAUGCACCGUAAUUUUACCAAGCACACUAACGAAUAAACUUCACCAGAUGCAGCUGCUAGACUUUGGUAAUCAUAGCCAUGGCCAAAUUUGGGAAUUUACCCUUGAUAACCUUAUUAACCUGCGACACAUAAUUUGUGAGAAGUUGGAAUGUCCUAACAUAGGCAGGCUGAUCUCACUCCAAACGUUACCAAGCAGCAGGUUCACAAUAAGGAAUGAAAAAGGUUAUGAGAUAAAGCAGUUGAGGGACCUAAACAAGCUUCGAUCCAGUUUGGACAUUUAUAGCCUUGAAAAUGUUAAAAGCAAGGUUAAAGCUGUUGAAGCCAAUCUAACUGCCAAGGAUCGGUUGAAGGAACUGAAGUUGGAAUGGGGUGAUGAUGGUACAAGGUGCAGUUCAGAAGUUGAGGCAGAGGUGCUUGAGGGCCUGUGCCCUCCCGUAGGUCUUCAAGAACUGAUUAUCUCCGGCUAUGAAAGCUCGAGGUACCCAGAUUGGAUUGUGGGUAAGCAGAAAAGUGGCCCAAAGAACCUGCAAAAACUUGUGUUGUUUGGAUGGAGCCAACCGGGACCUGGUCCUGAGCUUGAGGUUUUCGUUCAUCUUCGUGUGCUCUGGCUUGGUCACUGGAGGUGGGACGCCUUACCAGGCAAUAUUGAGCACCUCAGAUCGCUCAAGGAACUGGAAAUUGAAGGGUGCUUGAAUAUCCGGUCGCUUCCAACACUGCCCCGAUCUCCUGAAAAGUUUUCUGUUGCAUACUGCAGUGGUGAGUUCACGAAGUCAUGUCAAACAGUUAGACAUCCAAAUUGGCAGAAGAUCAAGCACAUCCCCGACCAAAGAUUUGAAGACCCAGCAUCCUCAGACGAAAAUUCUAGUGAGAUUGUCCCGCAAAAAAAGAGAAGAAAUAAGAGAAGGUUGGCUAGGAAUCACAGGUCGGUGAAUCAGUGA